UCCCUGGUGGCUCAGACGGCAAAAGCAUCUUCCUACAAUGUGGGAGACCCAGGUUCAAUUCCUGGGUUGGGAA
rnacentral:tRNA from 1 species